rnacentral:rRNA from 1 species
ACGGGAGGUAGCAGUGGGGAAUAUUGGGCAAUGGGCGAAAGCCUGACCCAGCGACGCCGCGUGAGGGAAGAAGGUCUUCGGAUUGUAAACCUUAGUCAACAGGGAAGAAGCAAGUGACGGUACCUGUGGAGGAAGCCACGGCUAACUACGUGCCAGCAGCCGCGGUAAUACGUAGGUGGCAAGCGUUGUCCGGAUUUACUGGGUGUAAAGGGAGCGUAGACGGCUUUGCAAGUCUGAAGUGAAAGCCCGGGGCUCAACCCCGGAACUGCUUUGGAAACUGUAGAGCUAGAGUGCAGGAGAGGUAAGUGGAAUUCCUAGUGUAGCGGUGAAAUGCGUAGAUAUUAGGAGGAACACCAGUGGCGAAGGCGGCUUACUGGACUGUAACUGACGUUGAGGCUCGAAGGCGCGGGGAGCAAACAGGAUUAGAUACCCUGGUA